GAUAAGACUGGUAAACCAAAACAGAGCAAGAAAAAAAAAAAGGCAGAGAAAACAUGUACAGAGCCGAGAAGCAGAAUCAAAAGGCUGGCAUUGCAGUGAAAAAACGCAGUAUUCUACACUUUAAAGAGUGUACCCAAACACAAUGAAAAACACAACCCAAGAGGUGUAAAAUUUAGCUUAAUAGGCUUGUUUAGAGCUCCCAAAGAAAAGGAAGAAGACCCACUUGGAGAGCCAAGUAAAAUAAAAGCGAGUGUGAAAGAGGCAAAGAGAAGCAAAAGAAGAGAGAGGAGACUCCCAAAGCGAGAAAGAAACCAAA
rnacentral:misc_RNA from 1 species